rnacentral:rRNA from 1 species
UACGAAGGGGGCUAGCGUUGUUCGGAAUUACUGGGCGUAAAGCGCACGUAGGCGGAUUGUUAAGUUAGUGGUGAAAUCCCAGGGCUCAACCCUGGAACUGCCUUUAAUACUGGCAAUCUCGAGUCCGAGAGAGGUGAGUGGAAUUCCGAGUGUAGAGGUGAAAUUCGUAGAUAUUCGGAGGAACACCAGUGGCGAAGGCGGCUCACUGGCUCGGUACUGACGCUGAGGUGCGAAAGCGUGGGGAGCAAACAGG